GCCUCAUGAUCAUGAAGCAGACUGAACUCUCCACUGCUGUGGCUUUGUGGCCUGCUUUGGCUAUGAACCGCACCUGCUUUUGGAGUAAAUGCUGUAUUGAGACUUCAAUAAUAGAAAGGAGGGAGUGGCACUAUUCAGAGAUGUGGCCUAGCUGGAGAAGUGUGUUACUGUGGAGGCGGGAGGUCUCACAUAUGCUCAAGCCACACCCAGUGUGACAGUUCACUUCCUGCUGCCUGAGAUCAAGAUGAAGAACUCUCAGCUCCUCCUCCAGCAACAUGUCUAUCUGCAUGUCACCCACCAUGAUGACAAUGGAUUAAACUUCUGAACUUCUCUGCACUGGUGCUUUCUUGGCCCAACACACUGCCUUGAACCAACUUCCACGGCACCUUUGAGCAUCGGCUCAGUUUGAGUCUCUUUAGAAAAGUCCAUCUUGCACCAAGACACAGAGUAUCACCGCCCUAGGUCUAAUGCCCACUCCUGGGAAAGGCCUGUAGCAGUCGGCUCUGCCCUACUGUGGUAGGGUCCUUACCUGGCUGAAAACUGAUACCAAUGAUGUGAAGGAGCAGAUUUACAAACUGGAAAAGCAAGGUCUGACUCUCUCACAAAUCAGCAUGAUCCUGAGGGACUCACAUGGUAAGAGAAUCUUGGGAAUGUUAGGUCCAAAAGACUGUCUCCUGAUCUUCCUGAGGAUCUCUACCACUUAUAUGAGAAAGAAGUUGCUGUUUGUCAAUAUCUUGAGAAGAAUGGAAAAGAUGAUGCUAAAUUCCAUUUGACUGUGACAGAGUACCAAAUUCACUCACUGACUCAUUACUGCAAGACUGAGUCCUCACUCCCAACUGGAAAAACCAGCUUCCACAGUCCAAUUCAACACCUUGCAUUUGUCUUGUGCAUUCAAGCAGUAAGGGUAGAUUUGUGAGCCCCAGCAUCAGACUUCAACAAUCUAGAAAUAGCACAGACAUCUGUAUUAAAAGCAGCAACGACAAAGGAGCAGCACAAAUCUCUAACAACUACUGCGUUCUACUUUCUAAAGGAAAAAUCGGUGUGAACCAGGGAAGAAGAGCAGAGGACAGAAUCCACAAGAUUUUAUGAAAAGGAAAAAUGACCAAUUCGGCUAUGGUUUCAUGGGAAUUUCAUAUCUAAAUUAAGCAUGAACACAGAUCAAGGCUCUACAGAAAUGUACAACUGGAUGCUAUUUUUAAAAUACCAGCAACAGUGAGUUACAAGAUGAGACCUUUACACUUCUCUGAAGUUUGGGUUAUUCUGAAUAGAUCUAAAUAUGGCCUACAGUAAUCUCAUCACUCCAUCUAUGUGUCAUGUGGGAACACGUCUACAAUCCCUGUGCUUAGGUAAGAUAUCCUUGGCUAUAUGAUAACUUUAAGGUCAACCUGUGCUACAACAGCGCCUGUCUAUAAAAAGUGAAAAACAAAGGAAAAGACAACCGCUGGAGCAAUGAGGAGACUGAAAAGGGAAGACUGAAACAGAAUGUAACUCUUCUCUAUUGCUUACAAACAGGUGAGCCCUUUAUACUUCAAUUUAGUCACUUUAGUGAAAACAGUGCUUAGCUUCACGCAAUAACUCCAAAUCUCACAAGAAAACAGAUCUAGCGAGCAUCUUAUUUGUGAGCAGUUCAGUUGCUUUCCCUAUACCAUACGUAUGGCUGGCCUCUGUCUUCACAGUCAUAUCUUUAUCGAUUAAAAUUUACCUGGGGCUCAACAGGAAAAAUGCACCAGAGAAAGGUAUCACCUGUAAGAGGAACUAUUACAUAUUUGAAAACAUUGAGUAAAUUGUAGCACAUCCCUCUUACAAAGAUCUCUUUAAGUACACUCCCAAAUGUAUGAAACAGAAUGAAAUACUAACAUAAAUACAUCCGAGUUUUUGUUUUCUCUUUGUUUUUCUGUUCAAGCACUUAUAUAUUUUGAAGAAAAAAAACUUACUGUUU